rnacentral:rRNA from 1 species
GUUUUUUUGAUUAUAAUUUAAAGUCUAACCUGCCCAAUGAGUAUUUAAAUGGCCGCGGUAAUUUGACCGUGCAAAGGUAGCAUAAUCAUUAGUUUUUUAAUUGAAAGCUGGAAUGAACGGUUGGACGAGAAAAUAACUGUCUCAAUUUAAUUGGAUAUAGAAUUUUAUUUAUAAGUAAAAAAGCUUAUAUGAUUUUAAAAGACGAGAAGACCCUAUAGAGUUUUAUAUUUUAUUAUAUUGAUUAUUUUUAGUAUGUUUAAAUUUUUUAUAUAAUAAAAUAUUUUGCUGGGGCAGCAGAAAAAUUUAGUGAACUUUUUUUAUUAUAAUAACAUUGAUUUAUGGUUUAAUGAUCCAUUUUUUAUGAUUACAAGAUUAAAUUACCUUAGGGAUAACAGCGUAAUUUUUUUUUAGAGUUCUUAUCGAAAAAAGAGUUUGCGACCUCGAUGUUGGAUUAAAAUUAACUUUUGGUGUAGGGGCUAAAAGGUUAGGUCUGUUCAACCUUUAAAAUUUUACAUGAUCUGAGU